rnacentral:rRNA from 1 species
UACAGAGGGUGCGAGCGUUGUUCGGAAUUACUGGGCGUAAAGAGCGUGUAGGCGGUCUAGCAAGUCAGAUGUGAAAGCCCGGGGCCUAACUCCGGAAGUGCAUUUGAAACUGCUAGGCUUGAGUGAUGUAGAGGUUGGCGGAAUACCCAGUGUAGAGGUGAAAUUCGUAGAUAUUCGGAAGAACACCAGUGGCGAAGGCGACUCGCUGGACAAGUAUUGACGCUGAGGUGCGAAAGCGUGGGGAGCAAACAGG